rnacentral:rRNA from 1 species
GACGUAGGGCGCGAGCGUUUGUCCGGAUUUAUUGGGCGUAAAGAGCUCGUAGGCGGCUUGUCGCGUCGUCUGUGAAAACCCGCGGCUCAACGGCGGGCUUGCAGUCGAUACGGGCAGACUUGAGUUCGGCAGGGGAGACUGGAAUUCCUGGUGUAGCGGUGAAAUGCGCAGAUAUCGGGAGGAACACCAAUGGCGAAGGCAGCUCGCUGGGACGUUACUGACGCUGAGACGCGAAAGCGUGGGGAGCAAACAGG